GACGAACGCUGGCGGCGUGCUUAAACCAUGCAAGUCGAACGAGACGGCAGCCCUCGGGUUGUCGUUUAGUGGCGAACGGGUGCGUAACACGUGAGAAACCUGCCCCGGAGACCGGGAUAACUGGAGGAAACUCUGGCUAAUACCGGAUGCCCUCGGAUGGUCGCAUGACCAACCGAGGAAACGCUCAGGUGCUCCGGGAGGGUCUCGCGGCCUAUCAGCUUGUUGGUGGGGUAACGGCCUACCAAGGCAAAGACGGGUAGCUGGUCUGAGAGGACGAUCAGCCACACUGGGACUGAGAUACGGCCCAGACUCCUACGGGAGGCAGCAGGUGGGAAUAUUGCGCAAUGGGCGAAAGCCUGACGCAGCAACGCCGCGUGGGGGAUGAAGGCUCUCGGGUUGUAAACCCCUUUCAGCAGGGACGAAACUGACGGUACCUGCAGAAGAAGCCCCGGCCAACUACGUGCGAGCAGCCGCGGUAACACGUAGGGGGCGAGCGUUGUCCGGAUUUAUUGGGCGUAAAGAGCUCGUAGGCGGUUGCGUAAGUCGGAUGUAAAAACUCAGGGCUCAACCCGGAGACGCCAUCCGAUACUGCGGUGACUGGAGUCCGGUAGAGGAGCAUGGAAUUCCUGGUGUAGCGGUGAAAUGCGCAGAUAUCAGGAGGAACACCAGUGGCGAAGGCGGUGCUCUGGGCCGGUACUGACGCUGAGGAGCGAAAGCGUGGGUAGCAAACAGGAUUAGAUACCCUGGUAGUCCACGCCGUAAACGUUGGGCACUAGGUGUGGGGCCUACUUAACGGGUUCCGUACCGUAGCUAACGCAUUAAGUGCCCCGCCUGGGGAGUACGGCCGCAAGGCUAAAACUCAAAGGAAUUGACGGGGGCCCGCACAAGCGGCGGAGCAUGUUGCUUAAUUCGAGGCAACGCGAAGAACCUUACCUGGGUUUGACAUGCACGGAAAAGCCAUAGAGAUAUGGUGUCCUUCGGGGCCGUGCACAGGUGGUGCAUGGCUGUCGUUAGCUCGUGUCGUGAGAUGUUGGGUUAAGUCCCGCAACGAGCGCAACCCUUGUCCUAUAUUGCCAGCACGUAAAGGUGGGGACUUGUAGGAGACUGCCGGAGUCAACUCGGAGGAAGGUGGGGAUGACGUCAAGUCAUCAUGCCCCUUAUGUCCAGGGCUGCAAACAUGCUACAAUGGCCGGUACAAAGGGCUGUCGAGACCGUGAGGUUGAGCGAAUCCCACAAAGCCGGUCUCAGUUCGGAUUGGAGUCUGCAACUCUGACUCCAUGAAGCCGGAGUCG
rnacentral:rRNA from 1 species